GUUAGGAAUAUUGGACAAUGGGCGCAAGCCUGAUCCAGCCAUGCCGCGUGAACGAUGAAGGCCUUCGGGUUGUAAAGUUCUUUAGCCGAUGAUUAUAAUGACUGUAGUCGGAAAAUAAGCCCCGGCUAACUUCGUGCCAGCAGCCGCGGUAAUACGAAGGGGGCGAGCGUUAUUCGGAAUCACUGGGCGUAAAGCGUGCGUAGGCGGUCUCGUAAGUUAGGAGUGAAAGCCCAGGGCUCAACCCUGGAAUUGCUCUCAAAACUGCAAGGCUCGAAUUCGGGAGAGGAUAGCGGAAUUGCCAGUGUAGCAGUGAAAUGCGUAGAUAUUGACAGGAACACCAGUGGCGUAAGCGGCUAUCUGGACCGACAUUGACGCUGAGGCACGAAAGCGUGGGGAGCAAACAGGAUUAGAAACCCCAGUAGUCC
rnacentral:rRNA from 1 species